rnacentral:lncRNA from 1 species
GUGCACUAUAUGUUUUAGAAAUAUAUAUCUCUAUAACAGCGCUCUCCACAUUUUUUGAAAUCAUUAGUUAAUGUAUCUUUCCUGCUCAUCAAUGCCCUUAAUUCAACUCUGUACCUCCACUGACCAACAGGGACCAGGCACAUAGCAAGUGCUCAAUUAAUACCUGAGUAUCAAUGAAAGGAGGCAAUACAUUGUAUCGCCUCUAAACAUCUGAAACUUUUGAGGAAUAUUAGAUUUUCUUUCCUCAUCCCAGUCUUCCUUCAGCUGGCUAAUUGUUCCCAUAUUGAUUCUAAACUGUACCAUCAUUAGCAUCCUGAGGGCAUUCACUGAACGCCCAAGUAGGUGACAGAGGUAUAGGACAGAAAACUCAACACGAUCUUCAACACUGCCCUCAGGAAACUAAGACCAAUGGGAAGAUAAACACUGUGGAAGCAGCAAAACGUGAAUUCAAUAAAGACCAUAACUCAUGAGCAAUAAAACCAGAGUGUGUUUGCUACUAAGAAAUAAUAACGGACAAGACCAAUUAAUACAGGGAUGUUGUCCAACACCAUGGUAAUUUUCACUUCUAACAUUUUAUCAGGCACAAUAUGAUAUUGAUAUUUUUUCAUCGAAGUCUGCAAUAAAAUGUCUCCACUAAAUAUAUUCUUCAUCCAGAUGCCCGGCGUGGAUGCUGUGUAUUCUCUCCUCAAAUGCUCACAGAGUUUAAAAAUCAACAGUGCCGCUCCGUGAUACAGAAAGCGCAUGGUUAUUUACGAAGCUGAUCUGCUUUCAGUGUUCUGGUCAUCGGAGCAAGUAUUAUAGAUAUGACAGUUAACUAAAUUCUAAAUGACACAAAAUCUCACCGUUUUGGACCAGGUCUUUCUGGGUUUGCAGAUCCCCAGGUGGUCUGCAAACAAUGCUACAGAAGCAAAAUCCUGGAAUGAGGGCAGGUGAGAGAUGAGGAUCACCACCAAAAUCCCUUCCAGACAGCCUCGGCAGGAAAACGCAGAGAGGAGGAUUUGGAGGCGGCAAUCCGGCCUGGAGAUCAACCAGGUGAGCCUUCAGGACCUCCCCGGAAAUGGCUAGAAAUCCAUGGACAUUUCCUGAUGCCAAUCCUCCUGGGAGGGCAGGGAUUAAAGUCACUGGAACCAAAGCAAACUGUAAUUCAUUCUUGGCCUUUUAAUUUGCAUGCCCCACAUGUAAGCAGGGAGUAGCCACAUUUGAUGCUGUCUUCUCAGAUCCUGUUUCUGCUCUAGGGUUAGCUUGUGACUUAAGGUAUAAAAGGCUGGCUCUCUCUUUCAGCUGUGGUAGGAGUCCUUUGGCCAGUGUCCUGCCUUGAGAGACACAUGACAAAAUAAAAUGACCAUGGUUUCUGGACCCUUAAUGCUUCUUCCCCAACUUGAGAAAUGUCAAUUUACAGAAGCUCUCAGACAUGACCAUAAGGCUGAAAAGGUUAAAAACAAAUACAUAACGCCUUGUUUUCACUUAUUUUCACUCACUGACUGUUCGGUAUUACAGGAUUGGGGCUUCUCAGCUAGAGUCUGUUUCUUAAAGACCAGCUACUCUAAGUCUGCAUAUGUGAGUAUCACUCACACCAUCACAAUACAAAUUAGACAAAAUAGAUGCUUAAUGGUGUAAUUCACUUUACAAUGGCACUAUUAUUACAGCAUUACUCUAUUUUCAUUACUACUGCAUAUUAGAAUCGGCUUCCAACAUGUUUGAGUCAAGAAAUAAAACAACCUAAUCACACUGCCAAUUAAUUCUGUAAAAGUCAUGUAGUAUAUCAAAACGAAAACAUUUUCACAGCAUCCCAGGAAGACAGGAUUCCACUGCUAGCUCACUUUCUCUAGCUUGCCACGCUUCUACCCCAUGAUACUCUGACCUAGCCUAGUCCAAUUACAAGCCAAAAAUCAAUAAAAGACCCUUGGCAAGUCCAAUUGAUUUUCUAAGAAAGGAUAUUAUAAUCCAUCAGCACACCCUCACCUUUCACUAACAUUAUUUUCCCGGAUUUACCCAAUACCAUUGUGGUACCAAUAACUACUCUUUCUCACGCUGCUCUCUCAUCAGCUCAAAUACUGUAACAGCAGAGCAAUUUCAAGCAGGUUGUGAGUCUCUGAGAGUAUUGUUUGCAAAGUGCAUGUAAAUUAUUAGAUUACAUUACAAGUGAAAAACUCAGCGGUGGGUCACCAUAGUGGAGCAUUAAUGGAGAGCACGUUGAAUGGAACCCUCGCAGACAAGUUUCUCCAAUGUGAUUUUUUUGGCAAGAAGGAGAAAGUGAAUAAGGAGGAAGGGAGGGCAAGGAAGGAUGGGGGUGCUGAGAAAGGGAACUUGAGAGAGCCCCCAGCACAAAGGGAAGGAGGAGCUCCCCCAGCUUCCAUGGCUGGUGAGGGCAGCCAGCAGUGCUAUAGGAACAGUGAGGCGGGUGGGGGAGCUCUCCUCUGGUUCAGGUGAAGGUGUGGACUGGAAGCUCAGGGAAGCCAACAAGUGGCUGAUGGGGUUGGACCUAAGGGAUUCGUGCUCACUUGGCAGGAUGCAGCCUAUGGCAGCUGAGCUGAGGAACUGGGAUAGGAUCCAGGCCAGGAGAACUGGUGGUUGAACAAAAGGCCUCUGAUGCCCUAAGACUUUUGCUAAUUUCACAGAGCAACCGAGCAGAACCCAGAGGAAUGCUGGAGACAAAGGGAGCUGAGGAGGAGACAGGGGUGAGGCGGCCAGAGGGCCCCUGCUCCUGGAUGGGCUCUGCCAUCACCACUAUCAUUGGAGUGACCCUGGAUGUGUGCUGGGCACCCAGAGGCUGUGCAGGCAUCCUCACAGGUGAGCCUCAAGCUUGUGGGAAGCCGGCAUCAUAAAUAUCCCCCAUUUUCAGGUGAUAUCAGAAACAGAGUGCUGAAUGAACUUACCUAAGGUCACACAGCUAGCCCACAGCACACCCGGGCCUCCCCUCGGGUUUGUAACAACCACAUGUGCUAUUUCCCAACACUUCCAGCCUUCAUCUGAGUUGCUCAAGACUGGAGCAGACCUGAACCUGCCAAGGAGGGUAGCAUGGAAGGAUUCAAGAGAAAAAGAAGUAGGACAAACGAGGGUGGCUGGGUCCAAAGCCAAGGCUCAGGUGGAAGUGGAAGCUAGUUGAAGUUGCGCUUGCAGAGUUGGGAAGUGCAGAGCUGACUCUUCUGAGACAGCGAAGCUCUGCAAGACAAUGUGGGAGAGAUGAUCUGCACAGUUAAUGAGCACCUACUUUUUGCAAGGCGCUGCGCAGAGCGAAAGAAGAAAACAUGGAGUAUGUCUUCUUGGGGGAGACGAGAAGCCUGCCCAGGAAAUAAUAUCAUAAGACAGUGCAAAGGAACCUGGCAAAGGAAAAGGCUACAUGCUGACUAAACGAGCAAGGUCCCCAUGACUGACCACUGGGAAAGAUGCGGCUCAUGAGAAUGGCAGGAGGGAUGGGGUGAGUCUUACCUGGGGCAAAAAUGAAAGUAGGAUCUCAGUAAGCAAAGAGAUUGGACCUAAGACAGGAGACUGGAUGGGGAAGCAGAGGAGUGGAACAGGAAAAGUCCACAGAAGUCAAAAGAGGCCAAGUUCAAGACACAUGGAUAGAGAAGAGCCCUCAGAAGUGUCUGGUCAAAGGCGCCCCAGACAGAGGGCUACCCUGAGAUGCUACCAGGAGAAUGUAAGCUCCAGGAAGGCAGGGAUCUGAUUUCUCUUGUUUGCUGCUUUAUUCCCGGAGUCUAGCAGAGUGCCUGGCACAAAGCAGGUGCUCAGUAAAUUUUUGUUAAAUGAAAGGCCAGCUUCAUGCUUUUAUACAGUGAUGACAAAUCUAAGCAAAGGGGCUCCCAGAAUUUACAUGUUAAGCCCAGACUGGACAGAUGCAUGUCUAAAUGGAACAGGAUCUUUAUGAGCAUGUGCUAAAAGUGGCAUCAGUUAUUGUAGAAGCCUUCCCUCCCUUCCUCCUUCCCACCUCCAGGCCAUGGCCCACAGAAAGGCAGCUUCUACCUCAUGCCCAGGACAGGGGUUGUCAACUUCAAGGAGCAGCUCAUAAAUAGAUCAUGAAACCAAUUUGGUGGCUCCUAAUGUAUAUUUUAUCUUUAAAUGAUAGAGCAAAAAUAACAUACACCUGGCCCAUGCUGAAACAUUAAGAGAUUCUGUUUCACAUAUUAAGUUCAGAAUCAGUUUCUUCAAAGUAUCCCCAGUUUCACAACAGACAAAAAAAUCCUUUUUGAAAAAACAUAAGGUUUAUUUUUUUUUCCAGUUACAAAAAUAAUACACCCAUAAUGUAGGAAACUCAGAAAAUACAGAAAAGCACAGAGGAAAAAAGAAAUGCACAGAUAACUCCACCAUCUAGAGAGGACCACUUUACCAUGUCAUCAUUUAGGUGUACAUACUUGGGUCCAUGUUAAUACACACACACACUCAAUAGUAUGUACAAAAAUGGUCCCAUUUCAUGCAUACUACUAUGAAAACUGUGACUUUUCACUAAGCCACACAUCCCAAACAUUUUCCAUUACAACGUGAUUUUUACUGGCUACACAGUAUUCCAUCCGCAGAUUUGCUACCCUACAAAAGGCACAGCCUUAAACCCUCUGCCUUAAGGAAAGAGGACAGCUGCUGGGAGACACCCUCCCCCACUGCACAGCUGGAGCUGGCUGCCUCUAGCUCCUAUGAGUGUAAUGCGUCAAGGAAAGUAUGCUCCACUCCAUACCCUGUAUUUCACUUUCUCCUAAGUCAGAAAGGGAGAUGCAAGCACUACCUUCACUAGGCUUUUAAAUGGUUUCAUUGGAAGAACCACAAACUCACUGGCUAAUUUUUAAUGAGCAAUACAAAUGCCCAAUGGGAUGCAAAAAUAGUAAUACUGAUAAUGUUCCAGAACUGAUACACAGCCCAACAGCCUGCACUUACUUUCAUAUGUACCUACUGCCAAAGGCUGGGUGAAUUAACCUGUGUAUACAUCAUAAUAUCCUCAGGGGGCUCUCCUGAGGGCAGGAACUUGACUUUGUACCUUCCAGGAAGUUCUGAGCAUCCUGGGACCACACACAAGUGGAAAGCACAUUAUUAGGGAGGGAGAAGCCCUGUGUUCCACUCACGGCCUUGUCACCCCUGGGAAUGGAAUCUCAGGCACAUUCUGAGACCUCUGUGUGUACCACUGUUAAAGGCUGGAUGGUUCAUAAGGCCUCUUCCGCCUCCAACAAGCUUUAGUCUAACAAAACAUGACCGGUGGCAGCCUCAUGAGCGAGUACCAUAUAUCUAACCAACACCCUCAAGCUCAAGAUGAGAAUGCAAGCUUUAGAACUUUCUAGAGCCCUUCAGGGGUGCCACCCUUGUCCUACUGAUUCUCUGUGGGGCCUUAAGAAAGUUUAGCAGCUUACAAAUCUUCAUGCACCCUCUGCAGAAACGUGCUCAUGCGACGUGGGUCAUGAGUGCCAGAGAUGAUAAAAUACAACUCAGGCAAUUUCACCCUUGUCACCAUCAGUCAACUAACAGGGUCACUAAAAGUGGCAUCAUUUUCAAAUAUCAAAGUAUUUCACUUGCCAUUGCUUUCCCCCUGCUUCAUUGGCUGGACAACUGACAGUUACGGGCAGUUCACCCUCCCCAAUUCCUGUCCUUUCAGAUAUAAUAUCCCCAUCACAUGAGAGAGCACAAGCGGUACUGUUCCCGUGGCCUUCUUACCAUCCACUGGCUUUACAAUCGUACAGUGAAAAUGAAAAGCAAUGCCGUUUACUGCAAAGUUUCUAGACAAAAUAUACCCUUGUUCCCUCUGUGAUCCAUCCGAUGAAAAUCCAUUUCCGAGCCGUCCCUCCUCCCAUGACUGGCGUCGAUCAUAGGGGAUGACAGAGGCCUCUCUGCUUCUGGAAGGGCGGCAUUGCAUCUGGGGGGUCUCUGCUCGUCUUUGUCCAUUUCUUCAGGUGUCUUUAAAACUAACUGGAAGAGUCAAUAAAGAUGCCUGCCGAUUCCUGUACCGCACCAGGAAGCACAUCGUCCUGUCCUUCAGGCCUGUUCUUGUUCUCUUUCUCCAAGUAUUCCCUGAACUGCCUUUGUCAACUGGCAAGCUCGACAAGUUCGUCAUAACUUUUCACAGUGUCAACUUUUCCUCUUUUCACUGUCCUUGUUAAAGAUAAUUUAAAAUCAGAAAGGCACAUUCCCAGCCAUUUCAGAGUCAAUGC